rnacentral:tRNA from 1 species
AAUUGUUACUUUGGCAGAUAAAUGCAAUAAAUUUAGAAUUUAUUUAUGUGAUAUUUUUACAAGUAAUA